UAGGGAAUCUUCCACAAUGGACGCAAGUCUGAUGGAGCAACGCCGCGUGAGUGAAGAAGGUUUUCGGAUCGUAAAGCUCUGUUGUUGGUGAAGAAGGAUAGAGGUAGUAACUGGCCUUUAUUUGACGGUAAUCAACCAGAAAGUCACGGCUAACUACGUGCCAGCAGCCGCGGUAAUACGUAGGUGGCAAGCGAUGUCCGGAUUUAUUGGGCGUAAAGCGAGCGCAGGCGGAAGAAUAAGUCUGAUGUGAAAGCCCUCGGCUUAACCGAGGAACUGCGUCGGAAACUGUUUUUCUUGAGUGCAGAAGAGGAGAGUGGAACUCCAUGUGUAGCGGUGGAAUGCGUAGAUAUAUGGAAGAACACCAGUGGCGAAGGCGACUCUCUGGUCUGCAACUGACGCUGAGGCUCGAAAGCAUGGGUAGCGAACAGG
rnacentral:rRNA from 1 species